GUUGUCGUGGCUCAUUGGUUAAGGCUUUGAGUUACAGACAGAAAGUUGUGGGUUCAAUUUCCAGCAGCACCA